UACGGGAGGCAGCAGUCGGGAAUUUUGCGCAAUGGAGGAAACUCUGACGCAGUGACGCCGCGUGCAGGAAGAAGGUUUUCGGAUUGUAAACUGCUUUAGACAGGGAAGAAAAAGGACAGUACCUGUAGAAUAAGCUCCGGCUAACUACGUGCCAGCAGCCGCGGUAAU
rnacentral:rRNA from 1 species